CGUAGGUGAACCUGCGGAAGGAUCAUUAAAUAAUCAAUAAUUUUGGCUUGUCCAUCAUUAUCUAUUUACUGUGAACUGUAUUAUUACUUGACGCUUGAGGGAUGUUCCAAUGCUAUAAGGAUAGGCACUGGAAAUGUUAACCGAGUCAUAAUCAAGCUUAGGCUUGGUAUCCUAUUAUUAUUUACCAAAAGAAUUCAGAAUUAAUAUUGUAACAUAGACGUAAAAAAUCUAUAAAACAACUUUUAACAACGGAUCUCUUGGUUCUCGCAUCGAUGAAGAACGUAGCAAAGUGCGAUAACUAGUGUGAAUUGCAUAUUCAGUGAAUCAUCGAGUCUUUGAACGCAACUUGCGCUCAUUGGUAUUCCAAUGAGCACGCCUGUUUCAGUAUCAAAACAAACCCUCUAUCCAACUUUUGUUGAAUAGGAUGACUGAGAGUCUCUUGAUCUAUUCUGAUCUUGAACCUCUUGAAAUGUACAAAGGCCUGAUCUUGUUUGAAUGCCUGAACUUUUUUUUAAUAUAAAGAGAAGCUCUUGCGAUAAAACUGUGCUGGGGCCUCCCAAAUAACACAUCUUUAAAUUUGAUCUGAAAUCAGGUGGGAUUACCCGCUGAACUUAAGCAUAUCAAUAAGCGGAGGA
rnacentral:rRNA from 1 species